rnacentral:rRNA from 1 species
GAUGAACGCUGGCGGCGUGCCUAAUACAUGCAAGUCGAGCGAACAGACGAGGAGCUUGCUCCUCUGACGUUAGCGGCGGACGGGUGAGUAACACGUGGAUAACCUACCUAUAAGACUGGGAUAACUUCGGGAAACCGGAGCUAAUACCGGAUAAUAUAUUGAACCGCAUGGUUCAAUAGUGAAGGACGGUUUUGCUGUCACUUAUAGAUGGAUCCGCGCCGCAUUAGCUAGUUGGUAAGGUAACGGCUUACCAAGGCGACGAUGCGUAGCCGACCUGAGAGGGUGAUCGGCCACACUGGAACUGAGACACGGUCCAGACUCCUACGGGAGGCAGCAGUAGGGAAUCUUCCGCAAUGGGCGAAAGCCUGACGGAGCAACGCCGCGUGAGUGAUGAAGGUCUUCGGAUCGUAAAACUCUGUUAUUAGGGAAGAACAAAUGUGUAAGUAACGAUGCACGUCUGGACGGCACCUAAGCAGAAAGCCACGGCUAACUACGU